UACAGGGGGUGCAAACGUUGCUCGGAAUCAUUGGGCGUAAAGCGCACGUAGGCGGCUUGGUAUGUCGGGUGUGAAAUCCCCGGGCUCAACCUGGGAACUGCAUCCGAAACUGCCUUGCUAGAGUAUGGGAGAGGGAAGUGGAAUUUCCGGUGUAGCGGUGAAAUGCGUAGAUAUCGGAAGGAACAUCAGUGGCGAAGGCGACUUCCUGGACCAAUACUGACGCUCAGGUGCGAAAGCGUGGGGAGCAAACAGG
rnacentral:rRNA from 1 species